GAUGAACGCUGACAGAAUGCUUAACACAUGCAAGUCAACUUGAACUUCGGUUUGUGUGGCGGACGGGUGAGUAACGCGUAAAGAACUUGCCUCACAGCUAGGGACAACAUUUGGAAACGAAUGCUAAUACCUGAUAUUAUGAUUAUAUGGCAUCGUAUAAUUAUGAAAGCUAUAUGCGCUGUGAGAGAGCUUUGCGUCCCAUUAGCUAGUUGGAGAGGUAACAGCUCACCAAGGCGAUGAUGGGUAGCCGGCCUGAGAGGGUGAUCGGCCACAAGGGGACUGAGACACGGCCCUUACUCCUACGGGAGGCAGCAGUGGGGAAUAUUGGACAAUGGACCGAGAGGCUGAUCCAGCAAUUCUGUGUGCACGAUGAAGUUUUUCGGAAUGUAAAGUGCUUUCAGUUGGGAAGAAAAAAAUGACGGUACCAACAGAAGAAGUGACGGCUAAAUACGU
rnacentral:rRNA from 1 species